GGAAAGACUGCGGCUCAGUGGAACAGCGUCUGCCUUGCAUGCAAAAGGUCCCAGAUUCAAUCCCUGGCAUCUCUUCA